UGGCCAAGUUUUUAAGGGCGCACGGUGGAUGCCUUGGCACCAGGAACCGAUGAAGGACGUGGGAGGCCGCGAUAGGCCCCGGGGAGCUGUCAACCGAGCUGUGAUCCGGGGGUGUCCGAAUGGGGAAACCCGGCAGUCGUCAUGGGCUGUCACCUGCAUCUGAAUGUAUAGGGUGUGUGGAGGGAACGCGGGGAAGUGAAACAUCUCAGUACCCGCAGGAAGAGAAAACAAUAGUGAUUCCGGGAGUAGUGGCGAGCGAAACCGGAUGAGGCUAAACCGUAUGUGUGUGAGACCCGGCAGGGGUUGCAUGUGCGGGGUUGUGGGACGGGACUUCGGUCGUCUGCCGGCGGCUGGGUGAGUUAGAAACCAUUGCGAUAGGCGAAGGGCAUGCGAAAGGCCCGGCGUAGAGGGUAAGACCCCCGUAGCUGAAAUUGUGGUGGCUCACUUGUUCUGUUUCCCGAGUAGCAUGGGGCCCGUGAAAUCCUGUGUGAAUCUGGCGGGACCACCCGUCAAGCCUAAAUAUUCCCUGGUGACCGAUAGCGGAUAGUACCGUGAGGGAAUGGUGAAAAGUACCGCGGGAGCGGAGUGAAAGAGUACCUGAAACCGUGUGCCUACAAGCCGUGGGAGCGUCGCCGUGUGUGCUUGCACAUGCGGUCGUGACUGCGUGCCUUUUGAAGAAUGAGCCUGCGAGUUUGCGGCAUGUUGCGAGGUUAACCCGUGUGGGGGAGCCGUAGCGAAAGCGAGUCCGAAGAGGGCGGUCUGAGUAGCGUGUUCAAGACCCGAAGCGGAGUGAUCUAGCCAUGGGCAGGGUGAAGCGGAGGUAAGACUUCGUGGAGGCCCGAACCCACCAGGGUUGAAAACCUGGGGGAUGACCUGUGGUUAGGGGUGAAAGGCCAAUCAAACUCCGUGAUAGCUGGUUCUCCCCGAAAUGCAUUUAGGUGCAGCGUCGUGUGUUUCUUGCCGGAGGUAGAGCACUGGAUAGGCGAUGGGCCCUACCGGGUUACUGACCUUAGCCAAACUCCGAAUGCCGGUAAGUGAGAGCGCGGCAGUGAGACUGUGGGGGAUAAGCUCCAUGGUCGAGAGGGAAACAGCCCAGAGCAUCGACUAAGGCCCCUAAGCGUGUGCUAAGUGGGAAAGGAUGUGGAGUCGCAGAGACAA
rnacentral:ncRNA from 1 species